UUUACGGGAGGCAGCAGUGGGGAAUAUUGGACAAUGGGCGAAAGCCUGAUCCAGCCAUGCCGCGUGUGUGAAGAAGGUCUUCGGAUUGUAAAGCACUUUAAGUUGGGAGGAAGGGCAGUUACCUAAUACGUGAUUGUUUUGACGUUACCGACAGAAUAAGCACCGGCUAACUCUGCGCCAGCAGCCGCGGUAAU
rnacentral:rRNA from 1 species